AAUAAAGUGCCUGAUUAAAGGAUUACCUUGAUAGGAUAAAUUAAGUAAAAAAAAUUACCUUUAUUA
rnacentral:tRNA from 1 species